GGUCGUUUAGCUCAGUAGGUAGAGCGUUUGUCUGAUAAGCAGAAGGUCCUGGGUUCGAGCCCCAGAACGACCA
rfam:Spironucleus salmonicida unplaced genomic scaffold scf7180000020685, whole genome shotgun sequence.